UAUAAAAUGUAAAAAAUAAAAUAAACAAACAUGUUCUUUUAAUGUCAGUAGGAUAACUUUGAGUAAUGUUCCUCAUUAUGUCAGUCGCUAUCACUUUCUUGCGGCAUUCUCCUCAGAGUAAGGGAGGAUGGGUUAUAGGCAUUUUUUGGUUGAAAUAUACUAACAGACCUUGUGCCCUGUGGGAUGCUUUGGCUAAUGUCAGAUUCUUUGAGAACGAUCUGUGUGCUGGGUGGGGUGCUGGUGGGUUUACCUCACAGGAUUUUUACCUUGUUUUCCACUCACAUUUUUAAAAGGACCUUUCCAUUCUUCUCCCCUCCACCAACACAUUUUUUCAGGGAUUGUUUAAUUGUUCCCUCAUUAUUUGGAAGCAAGUCCCACUGACUUUAAUGAAUUUUACUUCCUUCUAGGACUGUUGAGCAAUAUUCCUCUUGAAUCGUGCAGUCAGUACUGCUAGAGAUUGACUGAAAUGCCCCAUGAUGCCAUUGUUCAAGUUUUCAAGACAGGAGCCCCUCUGUCAGAUUGCACUGCAGCUGAACAGUUAAGUGCCUCUUGAUUUAGUGUCAGUAGGAGUUAAACCAAGUGAAAUCCAUCAUGGAAGGUAUGUACAAUAUCUUUUGGAACUUUCAAAAAGUUAAGUGUUCCAGUGACAAGUGCUUCUUCCUGUGAACCACUUGGCAGCACUGUGAAGUCAGCAAUUCAGUCGAAAGUGCACGGUGCCUGAACAACUGGAGUUUUAUUCUGCAAGAGGACAAUGCUCUCCCCCACACAAAGCGACACUGGAAUGCAUCCAGGAGUUGAAAUCUGAGAUUCUACCACAUCCACCAUAUUUCAUCCUAACCUCACACCUGAUUUUCAUUUGGGCCACUUAAAGAUGCACUAAGGAGACGCACGUUCAGGGAUGAAACAGAUGUUCAAAAUGUGGUGCAUGUGGAGUUCACGGCUAUCCUCUUUACCAAAAAUAUUUUUCUCUGAUGCAAUCAGAAAGCUUGGCAGUUAACUCGCUGAAAUAAAUGUGUCAAGACAGGAAGUGAUUACACUGGAAAAUAGUGUGUGUUCAUGUUUUUGGAACAACAACAAAUAUUUAUAUACCGCUUUUCAACAAAAGUUUCCAAAGUGGUUUAGAGAGAGAAAUAAUAAAUAAAUAAGUUGGAUCCCUGUCCCCAAAGGGCUUAUAAGCUAAAAGAAAUGUAAGAUAGACACCAGCAACAAUCACUGGAGGUACUGUGCUGGGGGUGGAUAGGGCCAGUUACUCUCCUCCUGCUAAAUAAAGAGAAUCACCACAUUAAAAGGUGCCUCUUUGCCCAGCAGAGGUAAUAAACUGUUUCAAUGCUAUAUUUAAAUUCAUCUUAUUAAUAAACUAUAUUUAUUAAUCGCUGAGGGAGGGUAAGGUGCCUAUAUGCUUGAAGGAGGCAAUAAUUAGACCUUUUCUUAAGAAGCCUUCCCUGGAUCCCUCGGUGAUGGAUAGUUAUAGGUCAAUCUCUAAUCUCCCUUGGUUGGGCAAGGUGAUCGAGAAGGUGGUGGCCGACCAGCUCCAGGAGGUUUUGGAGGAAACUGAUUAUCUAGACCCAUUUCAAACUGGCUUUAGAGCAGGCUAUGGGGUUGAGACAGCCUUGGUCAGCCUGAUGCAUGAUCUUUACCAGGGAAUUGACAGAGGGAAUGUGACUCUGUUGGUUCUCUUGGAUCUCUUGGCGGAGUCCAUUACCAUUGACCAUGGUAUCCUUCUGGGCCACCUGGGGGAGUUGGG